UCCUCAAAGGCUCAGAGCCCUAAACACCCUCCCCCUUCUUUUGGUAUGCAACGAGAGAGAGAGAGAGAGAGAACUGUGGUGGGUGGCAGAGCUGGAAUCUGGGCGGCGCCAUGGGUGGCGCUCGCUCUCACUUUUCCCCUCCCCUAUUCUUCGCGGCCCAAUUUUGCCGAGUUCCCUCAACACGUUAAGGCUUUCUGAUUCCUCAACAAUCAAGGUUAGUGCUUUCUGAUUUCUCUUUCAUUUGCGGUUUAUUGUUGGUGAAAAUCAAUUCCUUUUAAUUUUCUGGGUCGGUGUGUUUCUUUUGUUUCUGUGUUGGUUUUGUUUGAGCAGCUACUAUUUGUAGAGACUGGUGGGUGUCGGAAGAGGAACUUUGUUGGAGAGGACAAUGAAGAAUAUGAUGGAGAGGGUAGAUUCUAGUCAAAAGCUAUAUGCACGAAUGCGCCUAUGGGAAUUUCUAGAUCAGUAUGUUGUUGAGCCCACUGAUGGCUCUUGUGGUUCCUCCUUGGCAAUCAGCCGGAAGGACGGCUCAAUGAAUUUGAUUGAUGAACUUCCAGAGUGCAACUCUGUUCGGGUUCCUAAAAUUCAGACAAUUUUUGGUGUAGUUGGGAUGCUAAAGCUCUUCGCAGACACAUUUAGAGGUAUCUAUCACCCGGCACAAGGCUCAUAUAAUGAAGUUGGAACUGAUCUUGAGGCUCCUGGAUAAUGAUGAACAAAGUCCUGAGCAGGUUAAUGAUGUUAAAGACUUUUUGGAAGAUUAUGUGGACUGAAAUCAGGAAGACUUUGAUGAAUUUAGUGAUGUUGAUGAGCUUUAUAACACUUUACCACUAGACAAGGAGGAGUCUCUUGAAGAUCUUGUUGUAAUUGGUCCUCCCAGUCUUGUUAAGGCCCAAAAAAAUGUCGGUAAAUAGUGAUGCGUCAAUACCUCAUCCAUUAUGUUACUGUGGAGUGCGUGCACGUUUAAGGAACUCAUGGACUAGUGACAACCCCGGAAGAAAAUGGUACGGCUGUAUAAAGUAUAAGAAAGCUGGGGAUUGUGAUUUUUUUAUGUGGGCUGAUAACCAAAUGACUUCUUAUUAUGAGAGAUUGGAGGAACAUAUGAGAGACAUGGAGGGAGACGGGCUGAUAUUGAGAAAGUUGAGAAGAUGACAAUGGCCAAUAUUGACAGACUUGAGAAACUAAUUGAAACAAAACACAAGGAACAAUAUGAGACUUCGGUUGGAGUUAGGUCUAUGUCAAAGUAAUAGAAAGAUGUUUUGGGCAGCAGUAAUCGUAAUAAUUUUGGACAUUAUAAUUUAUUUCAAUGGUUAUAGCGGUUCUAAAGUUAGCUACUUGAUGUUAGAAUGAAAGGAUGGAAACAUUAUUAGGUUAAAAA